UUGAAUUUUCUGGAGAUUUUUUGGGAAUUUCAGAGGGAAUUUUGGCUGAAUGUUUGGGGGGAAUUUUGGGUGAAUUUUUUUGUAUUUUGGGAAUUUUUCCCAUUCUGCUCCUGGGUCUCCCCCAGGGAGGAGAUUUUGGGUGAAUUUUUUGAGAUUUUGGGUGAAUUUUCAGGGGAUUUUUUUUUAUUUUGGGUGAAAUUUUUGGGUGAAUUUUUGGGUGAAUUUUUGGGUGAAUUUUUGGGGUGAAUUUUUGGGUGAUUUUUUGGGAUUUUGGGGAAUUCCCCACCUGCUCCCGGGUCUCCUCCAGGGACAUCCUCUCCUCCAGGGUGGCGAUUUUGGGUGAAUUUUUUUAGAUUUUGGGUGAAUUUUCAGGGGAUUUUUUGGGAAUUUCAGGGUGAAUUUUUGUGGGGAGUUUUUGGGUGAUUUUUGGGGAUUUUGGGGAAUUCCCCACCUGCUCCCGGGUCUCCUCCAGGGACAUCCUCUCCUCCAGGGAGGCGAUUUUGGGUGAAUUUUCAGGGGAUUUUUUUUUGGAUUUUGGGUGAAUUUUUGGGGAUAUUUUUUGGGAUUUUGGGUGAAUUUUUGGGUGGAAUUUUUGGGUGAAUUUUUGGGGAUUUUGGGGAAUUCCCCACCUGCUCCCGGGUCUCCUCCAGGGACAUCCUCUCCUCCAGCUCCUUGCGCCGGCGCCGCUCCUGCUCCUCCCGCACCUUCUGCUCCAUCAUCUUGUCCACCUCCUCCUCCUCUGCGGCACCCGGGGGCAGGGGUCAGAGGUCAGGGGUCACCGGGGUCACCAGGGGUCAGGGGUCACUCAGGGUCACUCAUUGGUCACUCAUUGGUCACUCAGGGUCACUCGGGGGUCACUCAGGGGUCACUCGGGGUCACUCAGGGUCACUCAGGGGUCACUCAUUGGUCACUCAGGGUCACUCAGGGGUCACUCAGGGUCACCCAGGGGUCACCGCGGGUUUUUGGGGGUCACUCAGCUCCACCUUGGCCCCACCCCAUCCCCUAAGGGGGCGGGGCCUCCCCAGAAACGGCACCAAGCACGGCCCCAUCGCCAUGGAGACCCCCGAGGGGCGGGG
rnacentral:lncRNA from 1 species